rnacentral:rRNA from 1 species
UGGUGGGUUGCCUUGUCAGGUUGAUUCCGGUAACGAACGAGACCUCAGCCUGCUAAAUAGUUACGUGUCCUUCCUGGACGCGCUUAACUUCUUAGAGGGACUAUUGUCGUUUAGGCAAUGGAAGUGUGAGGCAAUAACA